AUACGUAGGUGACAAGCGUUAUCCGGAUUUACUGGGCGUAAAGGGCGUGUAGGCGGUCUUGCAAGUCAGAAGUGAAAUUCCUGAGCUCAACUCGGGCGCUGCUUCUGAAACUGCAGGACUUGAGUGCUGGAGGGGAUAGCGGAAUUCCUAGUGGAGCGGUAAAAUGCGCAGAUAUUAGGAGGAACACCGGCGGCGAAGGCGGCUUACUGGACUGUAACUGACGUUGAGGCUCGAAAGCGUGGGGAGCAAACAGGAUUAGAUACCCUGGUAGUCCACGCGGUAAACGAUGAAUACUAGGUGUUGGGGGUCUAUAGACCCUCGGUGCCGCAGCAAACGCAAUAAGUAUUCCACCUGGGGAGUACGUUCGCAAGAAUGAAACUUAAAUGAAUUGGCGGGG
rnacentral:rRNA from 1 species